CAGUCGCCGCGGUAAUACGAAGGGGGCUAGCGUUGUUCGGAUUUACUGGGCGUAAAGCGCACGUAGGCGGACUUUUAAGUCAGGGGUGAAAUCCCGGGGCUCAACCCCGGAACUGCCUUUGAUACUGGAAGUCUUGAGUAUGGUAGAGGUGAGUGGAAUUCCGAGUGUAGAGGUGAAAUUCGUAUAUAUUCGGAGGAACACCAGUGGCGAAGGCGGCUCACUGGACCAUUACUGACGCUGAGGUGCGAAAGCGUGGGGAGCAAACAGGAUUAGAUACCCGGGUAGUCCCUGUCUCUUAUAC
rnacentral:rRNA from 1 species